GUACUUACCUGGCAAGGGAGACACCAUGAUCACCAAGGUGGUUUUUCCAGGGCAAGGCUUAUCCAUUGCACUAAGGAUGUGUUGAUCCUUGCAAUUUCCCCCAAAUGUGGGCAUCUCAGCUGCAUUACUUUUGAGGU
rnacentral:snRNA from 1 species